UACAACAGUGUCCACUAUAAUAUAACAGUGAAAAUCUGGUGUUUUCAUAAUUUUUUCAAUCAAUUUCACUCAUUGGUUAGUUCUAUAUACUUACCAUGUUUUGUACUACAUGAUUCUGGGCAAUCCAUCAAUCAUUUUUUUGGAAAACAUUGUGAACACCAUGGUAUGAAACACAACAAUCAAAACAUGAGAGUAAUGUGAGCUGCCCAGUGUCAACACAUAGACUGAGCACCGACUGGGGGAGGAAGGUGGCAAGUAGAGGACCACAUCUAUUCCCAAGAAUGGACGAGUUGACAGUUCUGGACGACGCUCUCUAUCAAACUCACCGCUGCAGUCGGAGGUAGUAGAAAGGAUGGCCUCUUCAGACCCCAAAUGCCACGUUCAGUGCCGAUCAGCUGAAAAGGUUGGACAACUACGUCCCUACAUCCAGG